rnacentral:rRNA from 1 species
UACGUAGGGGGGCAAGCGUUGUCCGGAAUCAUUGGGCGUAAAGAGCGUGUAGGCGGCCCGGUAAGUCCGCUGUGAAAGUCCAGGGCUCAACCCUGGGAUGCCGGUGGAUACUGUCGGGCUCGAGUUCGGAAGAGGAGUGUGGAAUUCCUGGUGUAGCGGUGAAAUGCGCAGAUAUCAGGAGGAACACCAAUGGCGAAGGCAGCACUCUGGGACGUGACUGACGGCUGAGACGCGAAAAGCGUGGGGAGCAAACAGG